UACGUAGGGCCCGAGCGUUAUCCGGAAUUAUUGGGCGUAAAGAGCGUGUAGGUGUUCCAUCAAGUCGGUCGUUAAAUCUCAGAGCUCAACUCUGAGACCGCGAGCGAAACUGAUGGAAUUGAGGUUUGCAGGGGCUAGCAGAAUUCCUGGAGUAGGGGUGAAAUCCGUUGAUACCAGGAGGAAUACCAAUGGCGAAGGCAGCUAGCUGGGCAAUACCUGACACUGAGACGCGAAAGCGUGGGGAGCAAACGGG
rnacentral:rRNA from 1 species